rnacentral:rRNA from 1 species
UACGUAGGGUGCGAGCGUUUGUCCGGAAUUAUUGGGCGUAAAGAGCUCGUAGGCGGUUUGUUGCGUCGACUGUGAAAACCUGGGGCUUAACUCUGGGCUUGCAGUCGAUACGGGCAGACUUGAGUUCGGUAGGGGAGACUGGAAUUCCUGGUGUAGCGGUGAAAUGCGCAGAUAUCAGGAGGAACACCGGUGGCGAAGGCGGGUCUCUGGACAGUUACUGACGCUGAUGCACGAAGGCCAGGGGAGCAAACGGG